GGCUGGAUGGUGUAGUUGGUUAUCACGUAUCGCUCACAUCGUCAGUCUGACUAAUCACCAGACAAUGACAUGUACCGAUAAGGUCCUGGGAUCGAACCCCAGUCUAGUCA